UCUAGAGAGAGAGACUCUGGUAACCGCCUGAGAUUCCUUCUGAUAUUAUCAUCUGAUUUUCCUUCUUAUUACUGACGGUCAGCGCUUGAUACCUCUUCCUUUCAGAAAAUAUAUUUGAGGUAACCGUCUCUCCCUCUUUCGUCCUUUUAUCGUUUAUGCAUAUUGUUUUGAAUAAAUGGAUUCACCAUCAACACACACGGCAUAGCCUAGGACAGUAGUCAGCCGGUCUCCUGGUACAACUGAGUUUAGGACUGGGGGAGCCGUCUCUAGGUGUUUGGACCACCUUUGUUCUUCCCCGAAUCCAACCGUCUCUGUGCCUAUGCUAGACAUUAUGGCUCGAACUAAACAUACGGCGCCCAACCCAGAGUAUAGGGAAGACGACAUGUUAAAGGUGCCGGUUGACGAAGUAGUGCCGGUUGACGAGGUAGUGGACCAUCCUCCUAGCUCGACAACUACGACGGGUGACUCUAUUCUGAAUAAGUCUGAAGAGAGCACCGGUGGGGAGUCCGCCUCUGGUUCGGACUCUGACGAGGGUAGCAGCAACUCGUUGUAGACGAUUGUUGACAGUGAGGAGGAGUAGCUACCCUUCUACCCUAAGCAGACGGACCCGUUUAGAAUUCACGUGUUUGCUAGGGAUAGAAUAAACAUGGAGACGGGUUUAGACGCCUUCAUAAAGAAACGCCCCCUUGAGGGGAACUAUGGCAUAAGGGUGUUGCCUGAGCUGGGCACGAUUGCAUGGGAGGAAUUGGGAAGUAGACGAAGAUGAAGACCUAGAUUGAACGUCGUUCUUGGCCUAAAUUUGGUGAUGUUGUUCGUGAAGAAGUCGGUGCUCGUCUAACUAUGGUUUCUACUGAAGAAAUCGGCCUUGAACGACCUGCUGCUCCUAGUUUGCUUCGAUUUCGCUUCCUUUUGGUUUUGAUUUUGUUUUUUUUUUGUUCUUAAUUUUGAUCGAUGAAUUGUUGGUUGAUUUUGUUGUUGUUGUUUUAGGGUUGUCAAAUCUGGUUGUGUUAUUGGAUUGAUUUUUAAUGGAUUUACUCGUGAAUUUGUUCUAUGUUUGAGUGAUUUUUGCCAAUUGAGGUUAAUUGGAAGAAAUUAAGGGUUUCUAAUUUCUCGAGGCUGUUUGUGGAAUGUUGGGGGAAUUGGAGAUGGAUAGGGGUUGCGGUGGUGGUUUCGUGGGUGUGGUGGUGGGUGUGGUUGUUAUAGUGGUGGUUUCAUUGUUACUGGUUGUCAGUUUUAUUUGUGUCUAGUCAAUAUUGUUCACACAGAUAAUUAGAACUAGUUCAACUCUUGAUUGAAUAACCAGUCAAAGUUAAUUAAUGGCUCCCAAUGUUUUAGGGGCAAGACUUCGCAGAUGUGUUGAGGAGAUUGUAUUUUCUUAUACAUACCCCAGCCUAGAUAGUGAGGUCUCAAAACACAUGAAUCAUUUAUUGAAGGUGCCAUUCUGUGUACAUCCAAAACAGGUUAGCAGCUAUUCUUGCUUGUCUAAGGAUAUGUUGCCAAGUUCUGGAUAUUUUUGAGUUCUGUUUCAAUAGUGUGAACCCUCCGCUUGAAUUUGUCUAGCCCUUUGAAUAUAUUUCUUUGAUUUAUCAAAUUGUUAGACUUCUUUUCGAGAAUCUGUUUCCAGAAUAUUUAUGCAUUAUAAGCCUGUAUAAAAUCUCAUUCCUUAAACUAUUUUGUGUUGAUGUUUAGGUCUUGUAUGUGCUCCUAUUGAUCCCAACCAAUGUGAGGACUUUGUUUAAAAUUCUUAGACUGUGUGAUACUGGUUAAAUUUGUUUAAAAUGGAAUGUGCUUAUUUGAAUUUUUUGGAACUUAUUCUUACUAAACGUUUUUUGCUAGAACUUUUUGUAAUAAGCUGAGGAUUCCGCGAUGUACUUUUUGAGUAUUAUUUCAUUAGAUUUUGCAUCACUUCUGAUUCUUUUGGUCUCUUCAGGUCAUCCAAUUACGCCACUCUGGUUAUGACACAGCUUAUUGUAGUAGCUUUACAUAUGGUACACUCUACUCUUAUUUUCAACCACAUGAUUGACACUGCUGCUGAUUACUGAAUUUUGAUUAUUUACUGCUGCAGAAUCACUUUGAGAGAGUUAAAUACAUUAGAUAUUUACUAUUAAAUUAGUUUUUAUCUCAUGCAACAAAUAAAGUUUCUAGGUGUUCCCAGAAUCCUGGGUACACCUUGUGUUAUGCGUAUUUGGGUCUCUUCACUACAAUUUGCAAUGAAACUGCUGACCAAUUUAAUAUAGAGCCCAUACAAAAUAUUCAAACAUGGAAAUAUAAAAAGAAAAACGCAAGUAGACAUGUGUUGUGACAUGCAUUGGAAAGUUUCUUUUCUCUCCUCUCCUUUGCUUCCUCGUCUGACAUUAUUUCUUUUUAUUUGUUGCAGUUGAUAGAUUUAUGACGUCUUUUAUUGAUUGUUAACUAUAUUUUUUUGGUCCCAAAUUCAAUUAAGAGGGUUUCCGUCACAUAUCCACCAACUUCGCUUUGCUUACUGGGGAAUUGCUGCUACAAAAGUACAAUCAUUGUCCGCUAAUGGAGUUCAAUCUCCACGCCCACAAGAUGCUGCACAUGAAAAAUGAGGGUAAAUUGGAUCACUAAUUGCAUAUUCUGAUGGAUUCAGAUGCAAAUAAGGGUAAAUUGGAUUCGGCAAAUGCUGUCGGUCAAAAGAAGCCUCAAACAAAUGUGCGUGUACUUAGGGGCCAUAAUGGUGCAAUCACUGCUUUACAUUGUGUCACAAGAAAGGAGGUAUGGGAUCUUGUUGGUGACCGUGAGGAUGCAAGCUUCUUUAUUAGUGGAAGCACUGAUUGCCUGGUUAAGAUAUGGGAUCCAAGUCUUCGUGGUUCUGAGCUUUAGGCCACUUUGCAAGGCCAUAUCGGGUAACUUCGACAUCUUAUAUUUAUUUCUUGUUUUCUUUUUCGGACAAAUAAUGAAGGAUUAUAGUGUUAAAAGGAGUACUAGUUAGUGACUGACACUCAUUUAAAAGGAAGUGUAGAGAUAUAUUUGUCAUGCCUUAUAGUGCUAAAUGUUACAUUGUCUGAAAAUCAGUUGUUUGUGUCAGGUCAAAUCAGGUAUGCUUAGUAGUCAGUUUCAAUUUGUUUUGGAUAGGGACCAUUUGGGUCGCACUUAGUUCAGCUCUAUAGUAUUUGAGUAGGCUCGUGCUCCAUAUACUUGGUCCCCUUAGAACUUUUUUCCCCUAGCAUUUUUAUGGUAUUAUCUUACAGAUGAAGCUUUGAAACAAUACAUGUAAUUGGAAUUAGGGUCCUGGAAAUUCUAUUUUGAUCCUACUGAAAAUUUGUUGAUUGAGGUAACUGAAUCUGGUCUGAUGAAGAAGUGAAUUUAUCUUGAUGGCAUCUACUGAAAAUAUAAAAAUAAAUAACCAUACUUUGAGACCUCAGCUGAUUCCUAGUAAAGUUGACCUGGUAUCAGUAUCACAAAAACUGUUUAUUUGGCAAACACUUGUGUAGACAUUUUUACCAAAUAAAGAAUGUGCUAAGACAAAAGUUAGUAGCUCUUAUUUUCCCAAAGACAUGUGAGUCACUUUUGCCCUUUUGGAUUGUACUGUUUUGACUUACUUCUUAUUUUCCUGUCCCUUUUGGUCUUCUUUACAUUUAUUGAUGUAUAUUCUUAAGUAUUGCUGUCUUCCAGAGCCGUGCGUGCUAUAAGCUCUGACCGAGGAAAGAUAGUAUCAGGAUCAGGCGAUCAAUCACUCUUGGUAUGGGAUAAGCAAACACACUAGGUUCUAGAAGAGCUUAAGGGGUAUACUGCACCGAUCAACACUAUGCGCAUGCUUUCGGGGAUAGUGUUCUCUACAAUAAGCUCAUGUCUGGUGAUGUUGUCUGGGAUAAAGUUGUCAAUGUGAGGGGACAUCUUAUUAGGCCCUACAUUGUUGGGGAUUGGUUUUUUCCAUUGCUCUUUUUCCUGUUGACCCCAUUUUAUGGAACUGGUAGAGGCACCCCUGCCCAAAAUAUAUUCAAUGCUGCUCUAAAUUGCUCCGAUUUGCUCCUCUGGUUCAUGUUUCUACUUUGUCUAUUCUAGUCUUCAUGUUGAUGUUAUUAUGCAUGCUUGUUGUAUAGAGCACUAACUUUUAGUAGUGUACUUUACGAUUGCAUUUUGUCACAUUAUGUGCAUUAAUUAAUAAAAUUAAGUGAU